CCAGCGAGCGGCGGUGCAAGGUGGCCCCGGGCGCGCUGGGCCAGGCACUGCCUGUCCAGGGCGCGCUCCCACCAGUCGGUGGGAACGGUGUCCCCUCCCUUCGCUCCCCAGGAACCUUUGCUCCAAGCUUCUCUGCACCCGAAAGACCCUUCUCCAGCAAAUCUCUGCAGACCGGCUGUUGGGGGAAAAAAGUGUUAGCCGUCUCUCCCGGAUCUGCGAGGGGGAAAAAAUUUGGAACCAUAAAGUUGAAAACUUUUUUCUCUCAGUUUGGAAGAAGCCGUUCAUCAUGAAUGGGAUCCUCGGAGUCGGGGCGCGAGGAGGCGAGAGGCGCAAAGGAGGGGAGAUUUCUCGCCUGCCGCUCGCGCUGGGGCUCGAUGUGAAUAUAUAUUAUGUCUGCCUGUUCUCCCCUCGUCGGUGGCUAAGGUAAGCUGGACUGAAAUAGGCUAUCAGUUUGUGAAUGGCGGAGAGUAGUCUCAAUGAUUUAUGGCCCAUAUGACUCCAAUCUCGGUUCAAGAAGAGUUCACAAGCUUAAGCUUCCUUCCACGCAGCGACUCUCUCUCUCUCUCUCUCUCUCUCUCUCUCUCUCUCUCUCUCUCUCUCUCUCUCUCUCUCUCUCUCACUCCCUCCCUCCCUCUCCCUCUCUCCCUCUCCCUCUCUCUCUUCCUGUUUCUAUCCUUUUCUUUUCUCCUCUUUUUCUUUCUGCAAUCAUAUCCAGUGCUGAAUUUCUCUCUCUCCCCCCGGCUGCUAAGAAGAUCCUAACC